AAGUAGCUUGCUACUUUGCCGGCGAGCGGCGGACGGGUGAGUAAUGUCUGGGAAACUGCCUGAUGGAGGGGGAUAACUACUGGAAACGGUAGCUAAUACCGCAUAACGUCUUCGGACCAAAGUGGGGGACCUUCGGGCCUCACGCCAUCGGAUGUGCCCAGAUGGGAUUAGCUAGUAGGUGGGGUAAUGGCUCACCUAGGCGACGAUCCCUAGCUGGUCUGAGAGGAUGACCAGCCACACUGGAACUGAGACACGGUCCAGACUCCUACGGGAGGCAGCAGUGGGGAAUAUUGCACAAUGGGCGCAAGCCUGAUGCAGCCAUGCCGCGUGUGUGAAGAAGGCCUUCGGGUUGUAAAGCAC
rnacentral:rRNA from 1 species